rnacentral:tRNA from 1 species
GCCCGGGUAGCUCAGUUGGUAGAGCAGAUGAUUGAAAAUCAUCGUGUCGGUGGUUCGAUUCCGCCCCCGGGCACCA